CCGCCACCUCCCACCUCCUCUCCAUCUCCUCUCAUCUCCCUUGCAGAUCGGGCAGCGAGGUGACAACUGAAUCCUGACGGCGGCGAGCUCUCGAGGAGCAGCGGUGAGGGGAGUGCGGGCUACGCGCGGUGGGGAGCCAUGUGGGGGCAGAGGCACAACUCGUGGCGGCCGCCGGAGGGCACCGGCGCCGGCGCGCGAUGCGGGAGCCGGGACGGGGCGGUGGCGGGCGGGCUACGCGUCGGCACGCGAUGGGGAGCCGGGAGGGGGAGCGCAGGCACGGCGCGUGGCGACCGCCGCAGGGCCGAGCCACAGAGGGCGCCGGCGUCGGCACGCGGUGCGGAAGCUGGGAGGGGGCGGUGGCAGGCGGGCUGUGGGCAGCGGCGUGUCGGCACUCGGCGUGGCGCCGGGAAGGGUCGCGGGGACGGCGCGUGGUGACCGCCGGAGGGCCGAGCCACGAAGGGGGCGGCGCUGGAGACCGAAGGGCCGAGGGCGUAGCGUGUGGGCGUCCUGUCAGGCGGCGGGAAGCAGGCGGCGGCACGCGUGCUCCAGUUUGCAGACUGCAGUGCUGCUCCGGCGUCGGGCGAUCCGGUAAACUUCUGACAAUGGUUUCCAGGUUGCUGCAGUGAUGGUAGGGCAGAUAUUGGGGUGAGCGGCUCCGUCUCUUUGGUGGCGGUGCUUUGGCUGACCACCAUUUUCAGGACAAUCCUGACUAUUUUGAGUGAUGUAAAGGUUCUGAAAAUUGAAUUGCUGCUGAAAUCCCAUAGCCGGUCAUUGGCUCAGUCCACUGGUAGCCCAUCUGGGCCUAACACUCCGAAUGCAUUGGCCUGGUCAGUCAACAUGUGAUGUAAUUGAACUUGUUUUAGAUGGUGAUUUGUGGAUGUAAUUAGUUGAUCAUGUAAUUGACUUGUGGAUAACCUAUGAUAUUUGUUUGUUUUUUUCUAAA